GAAGUCGGAAUUGCUAGUAAUGGCAGGUCAGCAUACUGCCGUGAAUACGUUCCCGGGCCUUGUACACACCGCCUGUCACACCAUGAGAGUUGGAGAUACCCGAAGCCUAUGAGCUAACUUUUAGAGGCAGUAGUCGAAGGUAGAAUCAAUGAUUGGGGUGAAGUCGUAACAAGGUAUC
rnacentral:rRNA from 1 species